UACAAAGGUGCCGAGCGUUAGGCGGAAUCACUGGGCUUAAAGCGUGUGUAGGCGGACUUCUAAGUACCUUGUGAAAUCCCACGGCUCACCCGUGGAACUGCUGGGUAUACUGGUCGUCUUGAGCCACCUAGGGGCCAGCGGAACAAAUGGUGGAGCGGUGAAAUGCGUAGAUAUCAUUUGGAACGCCAACGGUGAAAACAGCUGGCUGGGGGUGUGCUGACGCUGAGACACGAAAGCCAGGGGAGCGAACGGG
rnacentral:rRNA from 1 species